rnacentral:rRNA from 1 species
AGAGCGAACGCUGGCGGCAGGCUUAACACAUGCAAGUCGAGCGGGCGUAGCAAUACGUCAGCGGCAGACGGGUGAGUAACGCGUGGGAACGUACCUUUUGGUUCGGAACAACACAGGGAAACUUGUGCUAAUACCGGAUAAGCCCUUACGGGGAAAGAUUUAUCGCCGAAAGAUCGGCCCGCGUCUGAUUAGCUAGUUGGUGAGGUAAUGGCUCACCAAGGCGACGAUCAGUAGCUGGUCUGAGAGGAUGAUCAGCCACAUUGGGACUGAGACACGGCCCAAACUCCUACGGGAGGCAGCAGUGGGGAAUAUUGGACAAUGGGCGCAAGCCUGAUCCAGCCAUGCCGCGUGAGUGAUGAAGGCCCUAGGGUUGUAAAGCUCUUUGUGCGGGAAGAUAAUGACGGUACCGACGAAGAAUAAGCCCCGGCUAACUUCGCGCCAGCAGCCGC